rnacentral:rRNA from 1 species
UGGGAAUUUGGACAAUGGGCGAAAGCCUGAUCCAGCAAUGCCGCGUGUGUGAAGAAGGCCUUCGGGUUGUAAAGCACUUUUGUCCGGAAAGAAAUCCUUGGCUCUAAUACAGUCGGGGGAUGACGGUACCGGAAGAAUAAGCACCGGCUAACUACGUGCCAGCAGCCGCGGUAAUACGUAGGGUGCAAGCGUUAAUCGGAAUUACUGGGCGUAAAGCGUGCGCAGGCGGUUUGCUAAGACCGAUGUGAAAUCCCCGGGCUCAACCUGGGAACUGCAUUGGUGACUGGCAGGCUAGAGUAUGGCAGAGGGGGGUAGAAUUCCACGUGUAGCAGUGAAAUGCGUAGAGAUGUGGAGGAAUACCGAUGGCGAAGGCAGCCCCCUGGGCCAAUACUGACGCUCAUGCACGAAAGCGUGGGGAGCAAACAGGAUUAGAUACCCUGGUAGUCCACGCCCUAAAACGAUGUCAACUAGUUGUUGGGGAUUCAUUUCCUUAGUAACGUAGCUAACGCGUGAAGUUGACCGCCUGGGGAGUACGGUCGCAAGAUUAAAACUUAAAUGAAUUG